rnacentral:rRNA from 1 species
GACGGAGGAUGCAAGUGUUAUCCGGAAUCACUGGGCGUAAAGCGUCUGUAGGUGGUCAAAUAAGUCAACUGUUAAAUCUUGAGGCUUAACCUCAAAAUCGCAGUCGAAACUAUUAGACUAGAGUAUAGCAGAGGGUAGUGGAAUUUCCGGUGUAGCGGUGAAAUGCGUAGAUAUCGGAAGGAACACCAGUGGCGAAGGCGGCUACCUGGGCGAAUACUGACACUGAGGCACGAAAGCGUGGGGAGCAAACAGG